rnacentral:rRNA from 1 species
GGGCCCGCACAAGUGGUGGAGCAUGUGGUUUAAUUCGAUGCAACGCGCAGAACCUUACCCAGCCUUGACAUCUUUCGAACUUUCCCGAAAGGGAUUGGUGCUACCGCAAGGUAGAACGAAAUGACAGGUGCUGCAUGGCUGUCGUCAGCUCGUGCCGUGAGGUGUUCGGUUAAGUCCGGCAACGAGCGCAACCCCUAUCGCUAGUUACCAGCAUUCAGUUGGGGACUCUAGCGAGACUGCCGGUGACAAACCGGAGGAAGGUGGGGACGACGUCAAGUCCGCAUGGCCCUUAUGGCUGGGGCUACACACGUGCUACAAUGGCAUCUACAGAGGGAAGCAAAUCCGCGAGGUGGAGCAAAUCCCAUAAAAGAUGCCUCAGUUCGGAUUGGAGUCUGCAACUCGACUCCAUG